UACGAAGGGGGCUAGCGUUGCUCGGAAUGACUGGGCGUAAAGGGCGCGUAGGCGGUUGUACAGUCAGAUGUGAAAAUUCCCUGGGCUCAACCUGGGGGCUGCAUUUGAUACGUGCGGACUUGAGUGAGGAAGAGGGUCGUGGAAUUCCCAGUGUAGAGGUGAAAUUCGUAGAUAUUGGGAAGAACACCGGUGGCGAAGGCGGCGACCUGGUCCUUGACUGACGCUGAGGCGCGAAAGCGUGGGGAGCAAACAGG
rnacentral:rRNA from 1 species